GUGGGGAAUCUUGCACAAUGGACGAAAGUCUGAUGCAGCGACGCCGCGUGGAGGAUGACGGUCUUCGGAUUGUAAACUCCUGUUAAGAGGGAAGAAAGGCGAACGAUUAAUACUCGUUCGAGAUGACGGUACCUCUAGAGAAAGCUCCGGCUAACUUCGUGCCAGCAGCCGCGGUAAUACGAAGGGAGCGAGCGUUAUUCGGAAUUACUGGGCGUAAAGCGCGCGUAGGCGGCCCACUAAGUCAGUUGUUAAAGGCCAUAGCUUAACUAUGGAACUGCAAUUGAUACUGGUAGGCUGAGAGGGCGAGAGAGAGAGGCGGAAUUCUCGGAGUAGCGGUAAAAUGCGUAGAUCUCGAGAGGAACACCGAUGGCGAAGGCAGUCUCUUGGCUCGUGCCUGACGCUGAGGCGCGAAAGCGUGGGGAGCAAACAGGAUUAGAUACCCCAGUAGUCC
rnacentral:rRNA from 1 species